CGGAUUUGAAGAAGCCGCGAGCUUCCAGAGGGCAGGGCGCGUUCGGUCCCUUGCCUAGGAAAGGACCCGACGAAUGUGUCACGCGACUUCCCCUCGGACGCAGAGACGCUCCAAACGCUAUUCAGGAGUCUGACCUCAGCACACACAGCAUGUCCUGCUGAAAUGGCACUGGAGGGCAGGCAGACCAAGGAAGAGAGCGGCACUCAGAGAACUGAAGGCGCUGUGCUGAGCGGGCACUGUCCGCAGACCUCAAGCCCCACAGGCUCUGCCACUAAAGCACUGGCACCAGACGGCUCUUCAGAUUUGUGCCUGGCCCCAGCCCCAGAGUCACAGCCUCGGAGGCAGGGGAGCCCUGCAGUGAGGACCUCGGUGGCCCCAAGCUCAUCUGCCCUCAGCAGCCGGUUUCCAGUGCAGGCCGCACCAGCUAGACACCAGGCCAUGAUUUCACAUGGGGAACAGAGUGCAGAGAAGUCAAAUAGUACUGGAGAUCGAACUCAGGACCUUGCACAUGUGAGGCAAGUGACACGCAUCACCUUUAAGCAGAAGCCCAAGGGCAAUCAAGGCUCUGCACGGCCCAGCUCCGGCGACCACAGCAAAGCUCCAGCCCGCCCUUCAGGAAGAUGCAGCGGCCCAAACAGUGCCCCCUCCAGUCAGGGCCGCUGAACCAGAGCUGCGGGGUCUCCGCAGGGCGACCUCGCCUGCACCCCGAGGCAGUGACCUUUGUGUUCUGCCAGGUGGGGGCUGGAGUUUGCAGCACUCGGUUCUGCCACUUAGGGUGCAAACAUGGCAUCGGAACCUCCGCCUGGCCGCGACACGUGGCGUGCGAAGAGGACACAGGGCAGAACGCAGCGGCGAAGGAGGCCGGAUCCACCCAAAAGUGCGGGACUCAGGUAGAGCUGGCACCCCUGAGGGCGUGGUCUUGAGGCCACAGUGAAAUCCUGCUGUCCACACCUGUGGUUCCGCAGCCACCACCAGAGACCCCUGGGCUGAGGCUGAGUUUGCAGCCCCUCUCAUUCCGCGAGACCGCAGUAGAGAAGGAAGUGCAGGGCACACCUCCAGGCACCGCCAUUGGCACUAGAGCGCUCACAGAGUGGUCGACCCGACGGCCCCAGGAAGUCUUGGGCGGCUCCAUCUCCUGGCAGAGGGAGCCCUGUCUUCCGCCUUUACACAGCGAGGACUCGGCAUGGUGGGAGGGCCUGGUGGAGGAGAGCUGCUCACAUCUUGGUGACCAGGAAGCAGAGAAGGGAGCACUGGGACAGCGUCACCACUCUCCUAGGGCUGCCACAGCAGAGGACCGUGAACUCUGUGGCUGAGACUCGGGGAGCAGCCUCUCCCCAGCCUCCUCCUAGCUGCCAGGAAUCCGGGGGCGAGACAGAACCUUCUGGACCCAAGAGAGAGCCUGCCCUGUGCCUCUCCUUAUGGGCACCUGAUGGCUCCUGGCCACAUGUGGCCUCCUUGGCUGGUGGACGCAUUUCCCCUGUCUCUGUCUGUUGUCACAAGGCCUUCUUCCCGUGGACAUUUAUGUGUCUGGGUCCAGAUUUCCCUCUUCUUUUUGGUGUUUUGAGGCAGGUCUCACCAUGUAGGCCAGGCUGGCCUUGAACUCACAGAGAUCCUAUUGGAUUUAGGGCUCAUCCUAAUUCAGAGUGGUCUCAACUCGGUUUCAUCCACAAAGACUUAAUUUCCCAAUAAGGCCACAUUCACAGACCUGGCAGGCCUUCAGCAUGUUUUGAGGGAAGAAAAUUCGUUUCAUGGUAAGUGUCCUCCCAAACCUCCAGAAGCCCCGAGGUGACACUUCACGAGCCUUGUCCUUGUGUUGCCUCCUCUCAGAGUCCUGAGGAAAAGAUGGCAUGCACUGUGGCUGCCAUUUCAGUCGGAAUGAGGUUGUCAUAGAUUUAUUGUAGCUCACAGGUCUGAGGCUUCAGGUCCUAGGGAGAAGCGUAUUAUCCAGGGAGAAGGAGGGAUGUGUAUAGGCCCCCUCCCAGGCCACACCUCAGUGACGCCUCUCCCCAGGGCUCCACCUCCCAGCAUCACACCCAGCUGUGCACCCAUCAGUGGACUCAUGCAGUCCCGCACACCCAGGGUCCAGUUGGCUUCCAGAAGUCCCACCUAGGAGCCCGUGAGGCUCUGGGGGACAGUGUUACAGCUUCUGUCUAGACGUGCCCCAAAGUCUCAUGAGCUCCUAGGUGGGGUUCUUCAGAGGUGGCUGGACGGGGAGAGUGUGUGAGGCGCAAUGCUAGGAUUGAGGGUGUGAGUGCUCUGCCCUAAGGGCAAGUGUCCUAGAUAGAAUGUAAAAGGGACCAGAAGGAAGCUGCUCUUGCGCCCUUGUUGCUCUGCCUUCUGCCUGCUAUGAACUGUUUUUGUUGUUUUUUUGGGUUUUGGGGGGUUUUUUUGGUACCGGGGAUCGAACUCGGGACCUUGUGCUUUCGAGCCAGGCGCCAGAACCACUGAGCUAAAUCCGUGGCCCAUUUGUUGUUAUUUUUUGAGACAGGGUCUCACUAUGUAGUUCAGGCUGCCCUUGAACUCACUAUGUAGCUCAGGCUGUCCUGGAACUCACAGUAAUCCUCCUGCCUCAGCCUCCCUAGUACUGGGAUUACAGGGCUGCACCACCGUGCCCAGCUUGCCAUGAGCUGUUCCUCCUCUGCCAUGCCCCUCUGCCAUGCCACCCAGCCUUGGAGCCAGCCAGGUAUGAACUAAAACCCCUACAGACUGAGGCAAAUAAACCUUUCCUCCUUUAACUUUGGGUGUCAAGUAUUUUGUCUCAGCAACAAGAAAGGUAACUAAGACAGACACCUAGAUAUAAACCAUAACAGGAGAGGAGGUUUAUUGUGGCUCAUGGUUUCAGAGGGUUCAGUAUAUGGUUAGCUGGCUUCAGGCAGAAGCAGCACGGUGGAGGGGUCUGGCAGAGGAGAGCUGCUCACGUCAUGGUGACCAGGAAGUGGAGAGAGAAGGGAGCAGCUGAAGAGGGAGAUGAAUUCUUCCAGGCCAGGCCUCCAGCGAGCGCCCCUUCCACUGGACCUGGCCCCUAACAGUACACUCAGCACUGAACUCCUCAGCUAGCGAGUCACUGUGAGCCCUGCACCCCCUGACCCAGCCACCCUCCCAAAGCUGCACCUCUGAACACGUGAGCCUCCUGGAUCUAAGCCAUAACAGAGAUACACAGCAAAGACCUGGGCAGAUGGGACGAUAGGGCGACCUGUGUGUGUGACAUGGGGUGGACAGGAAGCCAAGUGUGCAUUGUGUGAAGAGAGGCGCUCUGGAGAAAACAGGCCAGGAAAGGGGGUGCUGCUGUGGAGAAGGGGGUCGGGCAGGCUGGAGAGAGGCCCCUGAGGGCCCACGUGACCCAGGACAGUCUCCUCCUAGCAGGGCGGGAGGGAGAGA
ensembl:lncRNA